rnacentral:rRNA from 1 species
AUUGAACGCUGGCGGCAGGCCUAACACAUGCAAGUCGAGCGAGCGGCGGACGGUUGAGUAAUGUACGUGUACUGCCCGAUUGAGGUGGAUAACUACUGGAACCGCUAGCUAAUCCCGCAUACUAUCGGAUAACCCAUAUGUGAUUAGCUAGUAGGUGGGGUAAUGGCUCACCUAGGCGACGAUCCCUAGCUGGUCUGAGAGGAUGAUCAGCCACACUGGGACUGAGACACGGCCCAGACUCCUACGGAGGCAGCAGUGGGGAAUAUUGCACAAUGGGCGCAAGCCUGAUGCAGCCAUGCCGAGUGUAUGAUGAAGGCCUUCGGGUUGUAAAGUACUUUUGGCAGAGAAGCGGUAUCUGCAGAAUAAGCACCGGCUAACUACGUGCCAGCAGCCGCGGUAAUUC